GGAAAAUGAAAACAUUUGGCUUGCAUAACAUAACGCUUGUAUUGACUAUCUUGGCAUCUUUCAUGGUCCAAAUUUGUAGGUAAACUGAUUUAAGGUCAGCAAAGAAAUCUCAGUGAUAAGCCUUAUGGGAUAUAUGGCCUUGCGUGAUAGCAGCGCUCCAGUAAAACCAGUUUUGGCUCUGUGAUCAAUGAUUAAUGUGGCUACAAAGAGGGAAUGUUUAUGACAUCAUUUUCCCCUUUGGAACAUGAAAUGUGUCAGAUGUAAAUGCAAUCAUUUGCCAUUCUAAUUACUCUCUAACCAAUCUCCUUCUCCAUCUCACUGGCAGAGUGAUACAUUGCACCAGCGUUCGCACGGCGGCACAGUCAUUAGGCAAAAGUGGCGGUAAUAUCACAGGCCUGGAAUGUCGGCCCACGUUUUUGGAGCUGCAUGAAAAUGUUUUGGACCACGGCUCCGAAUCUUGCCCGCCACACGUCAUCAAAGCCUUUAAUGUUGGCUGGCUUAGGCGUGCACACUGUAGCAGAUUUCUGGAUCAGUAUUUGAGCACAAUCUGUUGAAUAGCUGAGAGGCGCGAGUGAACGGGGGAGGCGGAGGAGUAAAAUUGAGUGUAAACAGA
ensembl:lncRNA